rnacentral:misc_RNA from 1 species
GAUGAAGAACGUAGCGAAAUGCGAUAAGUAAUGCGAAUUGCAGAAUUCAGUGAAUCAUCGAAUCUUUGAACGCACCUUGCACCCUUUGGUAUUCCGAAGGGUAUGCUCGUUUGAGUGUCAUUGUACUCUCACACUUCCGAUCGUUUGGAUCGGGAGCGGUGGACUUGGGUGUUGCUGCUUUACUGUGGCUCACCUUAAAUGCAUUAGUGCACCUUUCGGUUGGACAUAGUACGGCGUGAUAAGUGUCUUCGCCGGCACCUCACAGAGGGUGGCUGAUCGGGAGCUCUGUGCUUCAAACCGUCCUCGGACAACAGCUGACACCUUGACCUCAAAUCGAGUAGGACUACCCGCUGAACUUAAGCAUAUCAAUAAGCGGAGGA